rnacentral:rRNA from 1 species
UGGGGAAUAUUGGACAAUGGGGGCAACCCUGAUCCAGCCAUGCCGCGUGCAGGACGACGGCCUUCUGGGUUGUAAACUGCUUUUAUACAGGAAUAAAAAGGCCCUGCGGGGCAAAUUGCAUGUACUGUAUGAAUAAGCACCGGCUAACUCCGUGCCAGCAGCCGCGGUAAUACGGAGGGUGCAAGCGUUGUCCGGAUUUAUUGGGUUUAAAGGGUGCGUAGGCGGUUAUUUAAGUCAGUGGUGAAAACCCUGAGCUCAACUGAGGGCUUGCCAUUCAUACUGAAUAACUUGAUUACCGUAUAGGUAGGCGGAAUUUAUGGUGUAGCGGUGAAAUGCAUAGAUACCAUAAAGAACACCGAUAGCGAAGGCAGCUUACUGGACGGAGAAUGACGCUGAUGCACGAAAGCGUGGGUAGCGAACGGGAUUAGAUACCCCCGUAGUCC